rnacentral:rRNA from 1 species
GACGUAGGGCGCGAGCGUUGUCCGGAUUUAUUGGGCGUAAAGGGUUCGUAGGUGGCCAACUAAGUCAUACGUGAAAUCCCUCAGCUUAACUGGGGAACUGCGUCUGAUACUGGUUGGCUUGAGUGCAGGAGAGGAACGCGGAAUUCCAGGUGUAGCGGUGAAAUGCGUAGAUAUCUGGAGGAAUACCGGUGGCGAAGGCGGCAUCCUGGACCGGCAUUGACGCUGAGGAGCGAAAGCCAGGGGAGCAAACGGG